GGUCAGAAGCCGCUCGGUCUCUGUGGGAAUAGGAGAGGGCACUGGGGUGAGGCCUGGGCAACUCCCCUUUUCCCCUUUCUCCAACCAGGAAGGCAGCACACGCCCUAUCUUCAUGUCCCCAUGCUCCUGCCAAGGAAGAGCUCUGAGAGGUCUAAAGAAAACCAGAAAACCUGUGACAUUGUAGGUAUCUAUGCACCCGUCCUGCUCAGAGGUUAUGAGUUUGGGUUUGGGAGGUACAGGGCCUGGGCUGAUUCCUGCCCCUCCUGCUCACCAGCUCUCUGAGCCUCAGUUUCCUCAUCUGCGAAAUGGGGCAAUAAUAUGUCUCAUGGGAACGCUAAGGACUGGAUGCUUAUGAAGCAUUGAUCACAGGGGCUGGUCCAUGGUGAAUGUCAGAACAUUUCAUCAAUGUUCCCGUUAUUGAUCAGUGGGGAGAGAAUGAACUGCUCCCACUGGCUUUUCACUGGGCGUUCAAGCCUGCUGGGCUUAUCCCAACUCCAGCUUCCAGACAUGAGCAUAGAACUCAGCCUGUAUUCUAGGUUUGUCUGGACAAAUACCCAAAAGAUGACCUCUGGGUUCAUUAUAACCUGGCCCAUCAGCUGACACUCUCAGAAGCCAAGGACCUGGAGAAGAGGAGGGGAAGCCUGGGAGUCUCACGUGCGGGUUGGAGAAGCUGGUGCCCGCUGUCUGAGUUCCAGACGAAGUUGAGCAAUCGGAACCUAGGCUCCCAGUGGGAAUCCCAGGAACCUCGCCGCCCCAGAGGGAGAAGCUGGCGGCCCGGCGCGAUCCCUGCCUGAGUUUGGGAACCCAGCAGAGCCUGGGUUCAGGAGGAAGAAUUGGAGAGGCUGGUGCCCACCCGCCGCCCAAGUUCUAGGAGCCGUCUGCCCUUUUCUCCACCGUGAAAAGUCAGCGCUGGAGCUUAGAAAAAAAGAGACUAGGAGCUCCGCCGCCCCAGAGCCCACAGCAGAUCUGAGAGAUUGGAGAUAACUUCAAUUGGAUUAUGCCCCUGGUUCCUUAUCCUGACACUUCCUGGAUGAUCCCAUUACAAAUACAUGUGAUGACAUCUGUUGUUUCUUUG
rnacentral:lncRNA from 1 species